rnacentral:lncRNA from 1 species
CGUGAUCCUGGAGACCUGGGAUCGAGUCCCAUGUCAGGCUUCCUGCAUGAAGCCUGCUUCUCCCUCUGCCUGUGUCUCUGCCUCUCUCUCUCUGUGUCUCUCAUGAAUAAAUAAAUAAAAUCUUAAAAAAAAGCACUGUCAAAAAUAUCUAAUUUGAUAUUCAAAUAAUCUUUGACAUUUUUAGAGUCAGCAGAGGAUUGUAUUAUGGAAGCUAAGAAAGUGGACUGUAGUUGUGAAGGAAAGAGGUGAUGCUCUUCACCUCAGCAGACUUCAGGGCAUGUUGCAUGUUGAAACAUCAUGACUUACCACGCUGAGAAGAUGCACAGGGAUCACAUGUUUGAUACGAAACUCAGCUCCUUCAGGCUGAUAAGUGCAAACCAGAGAACACACUGUAGUGGAAACAGGAUUAAUCCAGGGUCCCCAUCCCUCUGACCCCAAUGGAGCUGCUGCUAGUGGAGCCACCUUGACUCAUUUACAUAGAGCUUGAGGAUUCCCUCUGGGAAUACAGACAGGUAAUCCACUGAGUUUUAGGGAUAGAAAGAUACUUGGCCGACUGAACUGGGCCCAGAAGCAACUAAAAUUUAGGGGAGAGAACCCACCUGAGCAUCUGAAAAGGAACUAACCACAAGGCAAUAGGGAUCUAAGUAAAGACUUA